AGUGAACGCUGGCGGCAGGCCUAAUACAUGCAAGUCGAACGGCAGCACAGCAGAGCUUGCUCUGUGGGUGGCGAGUGGCGGACGGGUGAGGAAUACAUGGGAAUCUGCCCAGUCGUGGGGGAUAACGUAUGGAAACGUACGCUAAUACCGCAUGCGCCCUAAGGGGGAAAGCCGGGGACCGCAAGGCCUGGCGCGAUUGGAUGAGCCCAUGUUCGAUUAGCUAGUUGGCGGGGUAAAGGCCCACCAAGGCGACGAUCGAUAGCUGGUCUGAGAGGAUGAUCAGCCACACUGGAACUGAGACAUGGUCCAGACUCCUACGGGAGGCAGCAGUAGGGAAUAUUGGACAAUGGGGGCAACCCUGAUCCAGCCAUGCCGCGUGAGUGAAGAAGGCCCUCGGGUUGUAAAGCUCUUUUGUCCGGAAAGAAAAGCAAUCGGUUAAUACCCGGUUGUCCUGACGGUACCGGAAGAAUAAGCACCGGCUAACUUCGUGCC
rnacentral:rRNA from 1 species